rnacentral:tRNA from 1 species
GGGGUGAAGCUUGGUGGUAGAGCUUGUGCUUAGCAUGUGCAAGGCCCUGGGUUCCAAUCCCAGCCCCA